rnacentral:rRNA from 1 species
CCUACGGGUGGCAGCAGUGGGGAAUAUUGGACAAUGGGGGGAACCCUGAUCCAGCCAUGCCGCGUGUGUGAAGAAGGCCCUCGGGUUGUAAAGCACUUUCAGUGAGGAAGAACGCCUGGUGGUUAAUACCCAUCAGGAAAGACAUCACUCACAGAAGAAGCACCGGCUAACUCCGUGCCAGCAGCCGCGGUAAUACGGAGGGUGCGAGCGUUAAUCGGAAUUACUGGGCGUAAAGCGCGCGUAGGUGGCUUGAUAAGCCGGUUGUGAAAGCCCCGGGCUCAACCUGGGAACGGCAUCCGGAACUGUCAAGCUAGAGUGCAGGAGAGGAAGGUAGAAUUCCCGGUGUAGCGGUGAAAUGCGUAGAGAUCGGGCGGAAUACCAGUGGCGAAGGCGGCCUUCUGGACUGACACUGACACUGAGGUGCGAAAGCGUGGGUAGCAAACAGGAUUAGAUACCCUGGUAGUC